rnacentral:rRNA from 1 species
UACGAAGGGGGCGAGCGUUGUUCGGAGUUACUGGGCGUAAAGGGCGCGUAGGCGGCGCUCCAAGUUAGGCGUGAAAGCCCUGGGCUCAACCUGGGAAUAGCGCUUAAGACUGGGGUGCUCGAGUGCGGAAGAGGUGAGUGGAAUUCCCAGUGUAGAGGUGAAAUUCGUAGAUAUUCGGAAGAACACCAGUGGCGAAGGCGACUUACUGGACGACUGUUGACGCUGAGGUGCGAAAGCGUGGGGAGCAAACAGG